CCUACGGGAGGCAGCAGUGAGGAAUAUUGGUCAAUGGCCGGAAGGCUGAACCAGCCAAGCCGCGUGAGGGAGGAAGGCGCAGAGGGUCGCAGACCUCUUUUGCGGGGGGACAAAAGGCCGGACGCGUGCGGUCCUGAGGGUACCCGGAGAAAAAGGAUCGGCUAACUCCGUGCCAGCAGCCGCGGUAAUACGGAGGAGGCGUGCGGUAUCCGGAGUUACUGGGUUUAAAGGGUGCGCCCGCGGGCCCUUCAGCCGGGCGUGAAAUUCCGGGGCCCCACCCUCGCCGUGCCGCGGAAACUGGCGGCCUUGAGUGCGCCGGAGGCAUGCGGAAUGCGCGGUGUAGCGGUGAAAUGCUUAG
rnacentral:rRNA from 1 species